UACAGAGGGUGCAAGCGUUAAUCGGAAUUACUGGGCGUAAAGCGUGCGUAGACGGUUAUGUAAGUCAGGUGUGAAAGCCCCGGGCUCAACCUGGGAAUUGCAUUUGAGACUGCAUAGCUAGGGUGCGGAAGAGGGAAGCGGAAUUUCCGGUGUAGCGGUGAAAUGCGUAGAUAUCGGAAGGAACACCAGUGGCGAAAGCGGCUUCCUGGUCCAGCACCGACAUUCAGGCACGAAAGCGUGGGGAGCAAACAGG
rnacentral:rRNA from 1 species